GUGGCAAGACGGACGUUGUAUUUCGCUCCUUUUUCCUCCAUGCCCAAUCCAGCACGGGGCUACAAAUUGAUCAGUUCCUAAGUGUGUCCUGUCUGUGGUAAGGACGAAGCGUGCGCUGCCAUCGUGCGCACGACCAGAGUACAUCCUCAAGAGUGAGAGAAGGCAGCGCGUCGCUCUUCUCGUUUCCUGUCGAAGCCAUUGUUUAUCAGCUCCUCCGAGUCUACUGCCAAGCUCCUCUGCCUUGCCGUUACCCCCUCUCGCUCUCUGUUUCCCACAGAUCGAAGUAGCCUAACCCCGCGACUGUCUCAAAGAUGGCCACGAGUGCGCUGCCUCUUAACUCCACUACUGCCCUGGUAAGUGCAAACGCCGCGGCCGUAGCCGAGGCGGACGCUGAUGCGCAGGCCGUUGUAGACCUCGUGAACAGGUUCGUCAUCAGCACUGUUCAGUUUCUCAACCGCUUCUCCGACGAGUGCGAGUCGCGGCUCGUGCAGACUGAAGAAUCGCUGCAGCAAUUAGAGCUGCAGACGCAGCUCUUGGAGCACCUGCUCAUCACAAGCAGUGCUGCCGACCCCGAGGCAGACGAGGCGGAAGAAGAGGGCGGCGAUCACUCCAACGAUGACGAUGGCGGCGCAUCGUACCUCGCGGAUGGCGAUGACCAAGACAUGGUGAGGGACGACGGUAGCGAGGCGUCGGCGGCGUACGACUAUCGCCAGCGUCGCGGUCGCGGUCGUCGCGGCGCUAGCGAGAACGGUGAUGCAGAGAGCGUUCUGGGCCUGCCGGCGCCGCCGCCGAAAGAUCGCCGCAGUGGCGGCCCGCCCCCACCGCCUGGCAACUACCGCAAAGGUCCGCCGCGACCGCCGCCGGGGGUGGCGCGUGCGGCUGCUGCAGCGCAGGAGGCCGAGGCGGCCCGUGUCGCCACGCUGGCAAUGGUCGGCGCGCCGGUGCUCAUGCCACAGCUUUCAGGUGAUGCCCCAGCCCCGCCACCGCCGCUGGAGUUGCGCCCUGGCCGGUUACUUAUGCGGAAUCAUCCAAGGCUGCAUGGCUACUUUGAGUUGCUGUCCUUGCGCGUGCCAGCGGCGUUUGUGAAAGCCAAGAUGCAGGCGGACGGUUUCCAGGGAGAGUGGCUCGACACGCCGGACGCGCCGGCGCCGAGUGGUCUGUCCGCAGCAGUGCGCGCCUUCGUGGAUGAGCCAGACUGACAACCAAAAGAGGCAGUUUGCGAGUCGCGAUGGCCCAACCGCUCUUACCGCGCGAGCUGCUGCAUGCCCCAGCCGACUUUCUGUCCCUCUCUCUCUUCUUGGCCACCACCCUCACCCCGCAACAUGGGUACUGCUUCUUAUUCGCUUCAACGGUGUGCAUCUGUGCGUGCGUUUGACUUUCCUGGGCUGCGUUGCUCAUGCGUGCCUGAACCCCCCCUCCUCCUCCUCGCCACCACCACCUUACUACACCUCAGCUCUGCUCAGCUCCUUUUUCCUCACAGGACAACAC
rnacentral:misc_RNA from 1 species